GACAGAGGGUGCAAACGUUGCUCGGAAUCACUGGGCGUAAAGCGCGUGUAGGCGGGAAAGAAAGUCGGUUGUGAAAUCCCUGAGCUCAACUCAGGAACUGCAGCCGAAACUUCUUUUCUUGAGUGUCGGAGAGGGGAGUGGAAUUCCUGGUGUAGAGGUGAAAUUCGUAGAUAUCAGGAGGAACAUCAGUGGCGAAGGCGGCUCCCUGGACGACAACUGACGCUGAGACGCGAAAGCGUGGGUAGCAAACAGG
rnacentral:rRNA from 1 species